UACGUAGGUGGCAAGCGUUGUCCGGAUUUAUUGGGUUUAAAGGGUGCGUAGGCGGCCUAUUAAGUCAGUUCUGAAAUAUCCCGGCUCAACCGGGAGGGUGGGAUUGAUACUGAUGGGCUUGAGUAGAGUCGAGGUAGGCGGAAUUGACGGUGUAGCGGUGAAAUGCUUAGAUAUCGUCAAGAACACCGAUAGUGUAGACAGCUUACUAGACUCAAACUGACGCUGAGGCACGAAAGCGUGGGGAUCAAACAGG
rnacentral:rRNA from 1 species